rnacentral:rRNA from 1 species
GACGAACGCUGGCGGCGUGCCUAAUACAUGCAAGUAGAACGCUGAAGAGAGGAGCUUGCUCUUCUUGGAUGAGUUGCGAACGGGUGAGUAACGCGUAGGUAACCUGCCUGGUAGCGGGGGAUAACUAUUGGAAACGAUAGCUAAUACCGCAUAAAAUUGAUUAUUGCAUGAUAAUUAAUUGAAAGAUGCAACUGCAUCACUACCAGAUGGACCUGCGUUGUAUUAGCUAGUUGGUGAGGUAACGGCUCACCAAGGCGACGAUACAUAGCCGACCUGAGAGGGUGAUCGGCCACACUGGGACUGAGACACGGCCCAGACUCCUACGGGAGGCAGCAGUAGGGAGUCUUCGGCAAUGGGGGGAACCCUGACCGAGCAACGCCGCCUGAGUGAAGAAGGUUUUCGGAUCGUAAAGCUCUGUUGUAAGAGAAGAACGGGUGUGAGAGUGGAAAGUUCACACUGUGACGGUAUCUUACCAGAAAGGGACGGCUAACUACGUG